UCCAGGAUGGCCGAAUGGUUAUGGCGUCAGGUUCUCAACCUGAUUGUUUGUGGGUUCUAGUCCCACUCCUGGCU